CCUACGGGAGGCAGCAGUGGGGAAUCUUGCACAAUGGGGGAAACCCUGAUGCAGCGACGCCGCGUGAGUGAAGAAGUAAUUCGUUAUGUAAAGCUCUAUCAGCAGGGAAGAACAUGACGGUACCUGAGUAAGAAGCCCCGGCUAACUACGUGCCAGCAGCCGCGGUAAUACGUAGGGGGCAAGCGUUAGCCGGAUUUACUGGGUGUAAAGGGAGCGUAGACGGCAGUGCAAGUCUGGAGUGAAAGGCGGGGGCUCAACCCCCGGACUGCUCUGGAAACUGUACGGCUGGAAUGCAGGAGAGGUAAGUGGAAUUCCUAGUGUAGCGGUGAAAUGCGUAGAUAUUAGGAGGAACACCAGUGGCGAAGGCGGCUGACUGGACUGUAACUGACGUUGAGGCUCGAAAGCGUGGGGAGCAAACAGGAUUAGAUACCCUUGUAGUC
rnacentral:rRNA from 1 species